rnacentral:rRNA from 1 species
UGGGGAAUCUUGCACAAUGGGCGAAAGCCUGAUGCAGCAACGCCGCGUGAGGGACGAAGGCUUUCUGAGUUGUAAACCUCUUUCAGCAGGGACGAUUGUGACGGUACCUGCAGAAGAAGCCCCGGCCAACUACGUGCCAGCAGCCGCGGUAAUACGUAGGGGGCAAGCGUUGUCCGGAUUUAUUGGGCGUAAAGAGCUCGUAGGCGGCUUGGCAAGUCGGAUGUGAAACCUCCAGGCUCAACCUGGAGUCGCCAUUCGAUACUGCCAUGGCUAGAGUUUGGUAGGGGACCACGGAAUUCCUGGUGUAGCGGUGAAAUGCGCAGAUAUCAGGAGGAACACCAGCGGCGAAGGCGGUGGUCUGGGCCAAUACUGACGCUGAGGAGCGAAAGCGUGGGGAGCGAACAGG